GGGGAAGCUCGCACUUUGUUUGCAGCAAGGCAAGAACUUGUUACUAAAAUACAAAUGCUGACUCAGGAUCUUCAAAGGGCUCACGCUGAUGUGCUACAUAUUCCUCGUUUGCUGGCUGAGUUGGAGAGCCUAAAAAAGGAGUAUCAGCAGUGCCGGUAAUUCUCUGGUAACUCUCUUUUUUAUUGGGAUGAAAUGCAACUUAACAAGAAAGGGUCUUCUGACGUAAUUAGAGUAAUG
rnacentral:misc_RNA from 1 species